ACUUAAGCCUACCAAGUUCUGUGGGUCAGGUUUCUGUGUGCAUUGCCGCCUUUAGCUGAACUCAAAGCAUUGAUUGAUCUCAAAAUAUUUUUAUUGUGCUCCGGAUGAAAAGAGCCCUGGGUUUUGGUUGUGGACUGGCCUAUGACUUACUCAACCAUGCUCCUUCUUCAACCCUGCAGAUUCCCUGUGGGAGCUGGCCUGAGAUGCUAACUGUGCUCUGAGCUUCCCGGUGAGAACUCUGAAGACCUGCAGGGCCCAGGCUGGGCAACCUCGCGCUGCCGUGCGAACAGCGGGGCUGGCAGCUACAUAAGAGUGGCCCCACGCAACACCCCCGGAGGGAAGCCUGUGGAGGAAAAGCAGAGGGCGGCUGCGGCGGCUCAGCCCCGAGCGCUUCCACGCCUCCGUCACCACCAGGCUGCAGCUGGCAGAGCCGAGCACCCAGCCUUAGAGGUCUCGAGGAGGUUCCAGUGUCCCGAGUCCACCACCCCCGGCCUUGUGGUCAGCUGCCAUCGCCGAUGGCAUUGCGGAUGCCGAGCACCUUUUUCCUCUGCGGGGUUUAAGCCAUCCUUGGAAGAACGUGCAGCUGGCACUGGCAGCUUCCCAGCACCGAAGCAAGGCAGGGUUUGGUAUUAGCGCUAUUUCCUCUGUUGGUGCUUUAGGUAAAUACACUCAUGUCACCUGGGAAAUUAACUCAAGGGAAAUGACUACAAAUUAGCUACCUGUGUGCACAUGCAGAGCAGAGUUUCUGUUAGCUUGCGGUGUUUAAAUUCAAAUACUUUGAGAAGUCUUGACUUUUCAAACAGAGGCACCUAGCACCUUUUCAUAUACCUGUGAGGUCUCUGGCAUUUGAUUGUCCUGAACAAUUAGGGCACAGCUGCAAGCAUAGAAAACUCAAAAACCAUAGCAUAUCUAUUUAUUUUUUUCUGGACAAACAAUUUUAUUUUAGGUAAUGCGUCUAUACACUGUACAUUCAGUCACUGUGGUAUAUAAGCAUAGCUAUUUUCAUACAUAAUCUCAUAAAGUCCUUUAUUUUACAAUAUUAUCUGCUUCAAGGGGAGGGGAUGUGGAAAAGGGAGUGGAAAAGGACUAUCAAGGUACACAGCGAAAUAGAUAAAUAUGCCAAGCUUUUUUCUUAUUUUUUUAAAUCAGGCAUUUAUAAACAAGAAAGCAUACAUUACUUACAUAAAAAUAGUUCUAGAAUAGUAGAGUAAGUCAUAAUAUUGUCAUUAGCAGCAGCAUAGGAGAGACCAGGAUAACAAAAAUGUGCUGAAAUGCUAUUGGCUAUUAUAAAUGUAAAGAUUUAUUUUUCUUCAAUUGAAAAAAUGUCAUUUCUGUGAUUUCUUUUGAUUAAAAAAUGAACAACAAAAAGAAAAACAACAAAAAACAAACCAACAGAAACUUCUCUCUAAAACACCUGGACUGAUGAGAGGGCAGAAUGGAAAGAAAAAUCAACCUUUUGGUAAUAAAAUACUUUACAGUGAAAAUAUGGACA
rnacentral:lncRNA from 1 species